rnacentral:rRNA from 1 species
AUUGAACGCUGACGGCAGGCUUAACCCAUGCAAGUCGAACGAGUGGCGGACGGGUGCGUAAUGAUUGGGAAACUAGCUGAUGGAGGGGGAUAACUACUGGAAACUGUAGCUAAUACCGCGUACCAUCAGAUGAGCCCAAAGGGGAUUAGGUAGUUGGUGAGGUAAAGGCGCACAAAGGCGACGAUCUCUAGAUGGUCUGAGAGGAUGACCAGCCAAACGGGGACUGAGACACGGACCAGACUCCUACGUGAGGCAGCAGGGGAGAAUAGUGCACAAUGGGGGCAACCUGACGCAGCCAUGCCGCGUGAAUGAAGAAGGCCUUCGGGUUGUAAAGUCCUUUCGGUAGCGAGGCGUUAACUUCAGAAGAAGCACCGGCUAACUCCGUGCCAGCAGCCGCGGUAAUUC